UACGAAGGGGGGCUAGCGUUGUUCGGAAUCACUGGGCGUAAAGGGCGCGUAGGCGGCCGAUCAAGUCGGGGGUGAAAGCCUGUGGCUCAACCACAGAAUUGCCUUCGAUACUGGUUGGCUUGAGACCGGAAGAGGUAAGUGGAACUGCGAGUGUAGAGGUGAAAUUCGUAGAUAUUCGCAAGAACACCAGUGGCGAAGGCGGCUCACUGGCCCGAUACUGACGCUGAGGUGGCGAAAAGCGUGGGGAGCAAACAGG
rnacentral:rRNA from 1 species